rnacentral:rRNA from 1 species
UCGACUGCUAUUUGGGUGAGGAUAAGCCAUGCGAGUUGAAUGGGAUACCUAAAGUUCCCAUAGCAAACUGCUCAGUAACACAUGAUCAACUUGCCCUAUGGAGAAAUAUAACCUCGGGAAACUGAGGAUAAUGCUUCAUAGUUGAAUAGGCUUGGAAAAGUUUUUCAAUGAAAGGGAUAAGAAAAAUGGUUCUUAUCUGCCAUAGGAUAGGAUCGUGCUCGAUUAUGGUUGUUGGUGAGGUAACGGCUCACCAAGCCGAUAAUCGAUAGGGGCCGUGAGAGCGGGAGCCCCAAGAUGGGUACUGAGACAGCGACCCAGGCCUUACGAGGCGCAGCAGGUACGAAACCUCCGCAAUACACGAAAGUGUGACGGGGUUACCCACAGUGUUCUUAUAGAACUGUGGCAGGUGAGUAAUGUUCCCUGCUGGAAAGGAGAGGGCAAGGCUGGUGCCAGCCGCCGCGGUAAAACCAGCUCUUCAAGUGGUCGGGAUAAUUAUUGGGCUUAAAGUGUCCGUAGCCGGUUUAGUAAGUUCCUGGUAAAAUCAGGUAGCUUAACUAUCUGUAUGCUAGGAAUACUGCUAUACUAGAGGACGGGAGAGGUCUGAGGUACUACAGGGGUAGGGGUGAAAUCUUAUAAUCCUUGUAGGACCACCAGUGGCGAAGGCGUCAGACUGGAACGUGCCUGACGGUGAGGGACGAAAGCCAGGGGAGCGAACCGGAUUAGAUACCCGGGUAGUCCUGGCCGUAAACGAUGCAUACUAGGUGAUGGCAUGGCCAUGAGCCGUGUCAGUGCCGUAGGGAAACCGUUAAGUGUGCCGCCUGGGAAGUACGGUCGCAAGGCUAAAAC